rnacentral:misc_RNA from 1 species
AAGUCGUAACAAGGUUUCCGUAGGUGAACCUGCGGAAGGAUCAUUAACACGUGAUACUCACGUAUUAAACCCACCGAGAACUGUUAUUCUGUCCUAUUGUUGAUUGUGAGUAGACGAAGUGAGGGAAUGCUAUGGGUCGCCAUUCGCAAGAGUGUACACCCUAACUCAUUAGUUGUUCUUAGGUCCGCCCUGGAGCUUGCACCAACAAUAGUAGAUGAAUUACGACUGCUUAUUAAGCCUGUAGCAUAGCUUGCAGUUCGUAGUGAAAUUAUUAACCCCUUUUUCUAUUAUUACUGAUUUGUAUGUUUGUAUUGAUUCCUGACUUUCGGGUUGGUUGAGUUAAUAUAAAUGUCGUAUAUUACUAAUACGAAACAACUCUUAGCAACGGAUAUCUUGGUUCUCGUAACGAUGAAGGACGCAGC